AGUGAACGCUGGCGGUAGGCCUAACACAUGCAAGUCGAACGGCAGCACAGUAAGAGCUUGCUCUUACGGGUGGCGAGUGGCGGACGGGUGAGGAAUACAUCGGAAUCUACUUUUUCGUGGGGGAUAACGUAGGGAAACUUACGCUAAUACCGCAUACGACCUACGGGUGAAAGCAGGGGAUCUUCGGACCUUGCGCGAUUGAAUGAGCCGAUGUCGGAUUAGCUAGUUGGCGGGGUAAAGGCCCACCAAGGCGACGAUCCGUAGCUGGUCUGAGAGGAUGAUCAGCCACACUGGAACUGAGACACGAUCCAGACUCCUACGGGAGGCAGCAGUGGGGAAUAUUGGACAAUGGGCGCAAGCCUGAUCCAGCCAUACCGCGUGGGUGAAGAAGGCCUUCGGGUUGUAAAGCCCUUUUGUUGGGAAAGAAAAGCAGCAGGUUAAUACCCCGCUGUUCUGACGGUACCCAAAGAGUAAGCACCGGCUAACUUCGUG
rnacentral:rRNA from 1 species